AACAUAAACAAAUAAUGUUUCGUAUGAUCCGUUAAGAAUCAAGUUGUUUACAAUAUACUUUCAUAAGAAUUUAGGUAUUCUCAAGUGCAAAUUAUAGAACUUUUUUGGUGUAAAAACGGAGGGGGUGGGCUUUAAUAUUGUCCUGCUAAUCUAUAUACUGUGCAUUAUAUUUUUAACAAUUGAUCAUUUAUUUACUUUUCUUCUCUUAGUACUAGGUUGCAGUGACUUAGGUUGUACUGCACCAUCAACAAAACUCCAGAUCCAUGGCGUAUACAACAUACAAUUUAAGACUGGUUAUAGAUCUACAGUAUCUCAGAUCGACACAUGCUGACUGGAGAGAGCUAUAAUUGGACCCCGGACCGUGGCUUGAGACGAUGACUGGAGUCUAUGGCUAUGGGAACCAUUUUGCAGUAAUUAAGAAUGUGCAGGAGAAAGUGGUACACUUCAUUUCAAUCGCAUCCUUCAACAAGUGAAAAUCCAUGGUCUACCUGGAAUAAGUUUAUUUGGCGCCAAGACAACCUUUUUCCAAGGUCAACUCAAAGAUCAAAGGCCAGAACUGAUGUCAGUUGAAAAGACACCACAUUGGGUCAAAGAUCAAAGGCUAGAACUGAUGUCAGCUGGAAGGAUACCACAUUGUGUAUUAGAUUUGCAAGAUAUUUAAUCAAUGCACCAGUUUCAAGUUCAAAGUAUCAUCAAGACCUACUCCAUGAAAUGCUGAAUAUUUCAUCAACCUUCAGUUAUACCAACAGCUGAAUCCAGAAAAGGACAGUCUUAGUGGGUCAUACAGAAAAGGACUCAACAGGAAUAGUUUUCGAAUUUCAAGUUUAGAGAUUUUUGCAGUAAAUGAAGCCUUUACCAGUUGCAGAAAGAAGCUUAGGCUAUCCUUUGAGAGUGUUUGGCCUACAGAGAUAUUGACAAUUAAUUUAAAAAAAAGAAAACCUUUAUUGAUUUUUUCCCAAAAAUUCAGCUCAGAUGAGCUGUUAAGCUCAAGAGAAUUUUUAGCUCACCUGAGCUGAAAGGUCCUAAGACCAUAAACUUAGAGCAAACUUAAAAUUUCAAAGGGAUAUAAUUAGUUCUACUUGUCAGAGACCAUAAGAGAUUAUGCGAUAUUAAGGCAUCAGUCGUCCGUCUAGCUGUCCACCUGUCUGUAAACAGUUUUAGCUCACCUGAGCCGAAGGCUCAAGUGAGCUAUUCUGAUCAAAAUUUGUCCGUCGUCGUUGUUGUCACAUUUUUAUCUUCUUCUCAAGAACCACUGGGCCAAUUUCAACUAAAAUGCCAAAAGUAUCCUUGGGUGAAGGGGAUUCAAGUUUGUUCAAAUGAAGGGCCAAGCCCUCUUAAAAGAGGAAAUAAUUAUGAAUUAGUGAAAAAUUUUUGGCAUUUAAAAAAAAUCUUCUUCUCAAGAACCACUGGGCCAGGAAAGAUGAAACUCAUGUGGAGUCAUCCUCAGGUAGUGUACAUUCAAGUUUGUACAAAUCAUGACCCCCGGGGAUAGGGUCGGGCAACAAUGGCCUACCAAAAUUUUACAUAGGAAUAUAUAGAGAAAAUCAUUAAAAAUCUUCUUCUCAAGAAUAACAAAGCCAUGAAUGGUCAUAUUCAUAUGGAAGCAUCUUCAGGUAGUGUAGAUUCAAGUUUGUUCAAAUCAUGACCCCCAGGAGCAGGGUGGGACCAAAAUGGCCAAUCAAAGUUUUACAUAGGAAUAUAUAAGAAAAAUCUUUAAAAAUCUUCUUCUGAACAACCACUGGGCGAGGAAAGAUGUAACUCAUGUGGAAUCAUCCACAGGUAGCGUAGAUUCAAGUUUGUUCAAAUCAUGACCCCCGGGGUAGGGUGGGGCCAAAAUGGCCAAUCAAAGUUUUACAUAGGACUAUAUCGGAAAAAUCUUUAAAAAGCUUCUUCGAAAGAAAAACUGGGCCAGGAAAGAUGAAACUAAUGUGGAGGAAUUCAAGUUUGUUCAAAUCUUGACCCCAGGGGGUAGGGUGGGGCCAAAAUGGCCGACAAAAGUUUUACAUAGGAAUAUAUAGGGAAACCUUUUAAAAUUUUCUUUUCAAGUACUACAAAGCCAUGAUAAGUAAUAUUUAUAUGAAAUCAUAAUGGUUGUGUAGAAUCUAGUUCGUUCAAAUCAUGAUCCCCUGGGGGGGGGGGGGGGUAAAAUUCAAGCCCCCCCCCUCCCAACCUCAGUAAACUUUCAGUUCUGAUCUGAUACGUGCUUUUUCAAAGUUGAUGUGCUCAGGUGAGGACUGUGGCCCCUGGGCCUCUUGUUCAAAAUGCCACUCCUCCUUCAGUUUUAAUCUGAUUUCAAUUUAACUAGGAACACAGGUAGGCUAUAAUAAGAUACAUAAUUUAGUGCAUCAGUUUUUUUUUAUUUCAGUGAACAGUGUUGCCAUGUUUAUUAAAAAAAUUUCUGUGAAAUUUUCUUCAAAAUGCUACUCUUCCUACAAUUUUGGUCUGAUUUCAGUAUAACUUAGCACUUAAGUAGACUAAACCAAGAUACAUAAUUUAGUGCAUCAAUUUUUGAUUUCGAUGAACAGUGUUGCCAUGGUAACUAAAAAUAGAAUUUUCUGUGAAAUUCCUUUAAAAAGAACUCCUUCAAUUUUUAUUUGAAUUAAGUAUAAUUUGGCACACAAUAUGCACAAUUACACUAUACAAAGAUACAUAAUUCUAUUUAUUUUUGCCUUUUGAAAAGUCAAACCACCUAAGUGCCACUUUUCCUUUUAUACACAU